rnacentral:snoRNA from 2 species
CAGCGUCUACCACCUAGUUAGUGCUUACAAAGUAGGUGCUCAAUAAUUGUAAUGCUCUUCCCAGGUUGAACAUUCGCUAUAUUAAGACCAUGCACGUGUCCCCAGACCUAGUUCUUUUUCUUCGUCUGGUUUUAUAAAUGCUGGUGAUGAAC